GUCAUGUAAAAGCUAAAACUACAGAAAGCCACAAUGGAAAUAUAUCUUUUCGUGUGAAUUGUUUUGUGAAAUAUUUUAGUAGAAAUUUUAUCAUAUGUAUUUUAGCACGUCAGAACACCAGGACAAUCUCUACAAGACAAAAUUGGUUGAACAGGCCGUACAGACAUGGCUGCGCCCAUGAAGAACUUCGUUGUGAUGACUGUGGAGGCGCGCAAAAUGUUCUCAACUCCAUGCAAUGACACUACAACGGAAGGCAAAGCAUUCUACUACAAGAUGCGGGGAUUCGCUAUUUGGCCGAAUUCACCAUUGGCUGGAACCACAUGGAGGCGUCAGAGCAGUCGCUGUGCUCUUACAAUACUGCCUGGGAAUUCGCAACCGAUUUGGCUCCAUCGUAGUAGGCCAUCGACUUGGUACAGCCCGCUUUCGAUGAUGCCAGUGAUGAACUGGAUAAACUGAACUCAUCAUGUAGCUGCUGCGUGACAACCUUACACUAUGGACAUCUGCCUAGCAGCUACAAAGUAAGUCAUAUUAUACCUAUGUACAUACGUAUGUAUGUAUGUAUAUGCAUAUGCAUUAUUCAAAUAUUAUAGCGGCGUCAGCUGACAAUGCCACAGUUGUCGCGAACCUAAGAACCUGAUUGAGAAGGGACAGGUGAAAGGAUAAGUAUUAAUUUAAGUAGACAUGCACCCGUCAUUUAAGCACCACACUUUGAAUUAUUUGAGAACAACACCAUAAAGUCAUGUGACAACCUGUAACCCCGUGCCGCCCGACAUGCAGGUGAGCCAUACAAAUAUUUGUAUUUAAUUAUACUUAACACUUGACGCUAAUGUAGGUGAUGGCCAGACGAAGGACAUAAACCACAAAAACAUGGAAACAGAAUUACAAAAAGGAAUACCAAAACAGUUCUCGAGAAUAACUAGAACAUUUACCGAUAUUUGAAAGAUUAAAAUCUUGCAACAGAAGCAGCAACAACACUGGUAGACGUGGAUAUUUCAAAAAGACUUCCUUUUCCCCCGUGAGCGCCCCAGUUGUUAUAAAUAAUAGCCUAACAAAAAGGUGUUAUUUAGAAUUGUGAAAAUCAGAGACCAGCAAAAUAAAAAUGUGUAACACAAAAUUGAG
rnacentral:lncRNA from 1 species